rnacentral:lncRNA from 1 species
GGUGCUUAUCGGGUUACCCGAUAAUGACCCGUUUCGUUAUCGUGUCGACCCGAACACCUGUUAAUUUCGUGUCGUGUCGUGUCGGGUUAUUGGGUCGUGUCAGGAAUUGCCAGGCCUACCAUGGACGUUUCGUAAAUUCCCAAGUUAGGGAAUAAAAUAAAAAUAAAUGUGGGGUGAGAUUAUGUCAAGUGGUCUAGAGGGUGUCCUCAUGGGCAGACAGAAGAUGGGCACUCUAGUAAGUCGGUCAACAGUCACCGAAACAUCAUCAUUGUCUCCAUAUGUACGGGGUCGCUCGUACAUGAAAUCCAUGGUGAUAUUCUCUCAUAUACGUCUGAAUAUAAGGAGUGAUUGUAAUAGCUCAAUUGAUUUCUUUCUUCCUGCUUUGCCUAGCUGACAAAUCAAGUUCUUGCUUAAUACCUAAACAUCUCCUUUCCCAAGUCAAAAGUGGAAGGGUCAGACUUCGAAAUUAACAAACUUUCCUGAUGAUCAAUAAGUAACGUCACAUCAAUACUCAUGACAUCAUGAGGAACUCAUAAUAAACAUGUUGAGUCCUGAAAGCAAUCUUAGGUACGUCAUCAUUUUUUAUCUUCAGCUGGUCGCAACCAAACUUCAGAUCAAACUAGAAAAAACUCUGGUUCCAUAUAGUUGGUCGGAGAG